CUGCCUCCACAGUGGCUGGGAUAGAUCACAGCAGUGCUCGCCAGCAUCUGUGUUUCCCCUCCUCUUCCUGGGUAUAUUCCCCAGCCUUAUUGAGUGAAGCUGUGGGACAGAUUUUGGUUUUUGGGGGUAUAAAUAGAUUCCUGGCCUCUGAAAUCUGCAUGAGAUUCUCUUUAUCUCUUUCCUCCCUUUUUGGGCAGAUACAGAGGAUUUAAUGGGAGCUUCAGUCAGAACCAGUUACUACGAGGUACACCCUGACUCUUGUCAGGAGCAGAGCUGGCCAACCUACACCAGUAGGAAAUACUGUCUUGAGAUGGAAACAAAAAGUGAGCAUGGAGAAGAGAUUGCCAUAACUCGUGGACAGAAAAACGUGGAUCUGAACAGGGACAUGAGAGAAGGGGAAUCAUCCAUAAAUGUCCCAAGAUGCAGCAAAGGGCAGAGAAUGGCAUGGUAGGUAAACAACAGAGGCUCUGAGGCCACAUCUGGAUUUGUUUGGACCCGUAAGAAGAGCGGCAACCUAGCCUACUGCACUCAUGGUGAGUCUUCCCAAGAGUCAGGUUCUGUGUGUCUCCCACCAAGUCUGCCGGCGCUCAAUAAAUGCAUGUUGUUGCGCGAGGGAAGCUCCUCCAUCCCAGAGGCCCAAAGCCUCGCUCCUCACUACGUUAACAGAAGAGGUGAAGGCUGCAUGGUCUAUUCCAGCAAGACUAUCGCAUCACAGCCGAGGAAAGGAUUCCGAAUUUUUUCUUAGAAUAUUGGCCUUCGACGUGGUGCUGGGAAUAGGAGCAUCAACCAAAGCACGCGGCCUAUUCAACGCUAGGCCUUGACACGUCUGCAGAGAGAUGUUCCCCCGACUCCCCGGCUUUCUGCUCUUUGCACAUGAAACACACCUCUGCCCAUUUGAUAACGCAAGGCCUCCCCAAAGGGGAAAAGAAAAAAAAAAAGAGAGAGAACUGCCAAGUGCGUUUCCUCUUCCGAACCUCCACGUUGCCCUGCAUUGCGUUAUUUGCUGUGUCCAUGCGGCUCAGAGUCCUGGGAGUAAUUAAGGUUCAAAGGCUUGGGUAAUAACUCCUCGGUAAAUGAGUGCUUGCUACAGAGUUUCGUGGGCAUGGGUAAAAUAGAAUUUGAAUUUAAUUGGAGAAUUUUAAGGCAGGAUUCCAUAUUUUUAAUAGUAUUUUCCUGGUAUCCUCUGUGAAACCAGUGGCGGGGGGCGGGGGGCCUCCCCGGGGGGCUCACAACCUCAGCAGGGAGCAGACGUCAGUGUCCGCCCGUGACCGUGACGGUGCAGUGCCGAGGAGGAGGAGGCCUAUACCCACUGCAGGGCUCCCCCGCUGCCCAGCCAGGGUGAGCUCGGGCAGGUUCUUGACCUUUCUGAGCCUAAUUUCUCACUUGUGAGAAGGAGAUCAUAAUUUCUGCCUGGGCAGGCAGGAUUACAUAAAUUAAUGGUUGCAAAGUGCUCGGCAUAGGGCUUGGCACCGGGAAGCUCUCCGUAAAUGUCAGUCGUGCGCGCUGUCACAGGGCAACUGCAGCGGCCUCCCUGGCGCUCAGCAAGGGGACACAGGAGCUCUGCUUACAUCCACACGCAGGCUCGAGACGACAACUACAGCAUAAAAUAAUAAAUAAAUAACCCUUGAAGUC
rnacentral:lncRNA from 12 species